UUCAUUAAGAGUGUCUCAUGCAAGCAGUGCGGGGCUAAGCAUGCUCAGUGUAAAUUCUCCUGUAGCCUGUCAAGCUAUGUUUGAACUCGUUCCAGAUUCCUGGAUUUACUUUUUUUUUUCUACCAGGAAGAAUGCUCGAUUAGACUGCAUUUUGCUCUGCUUUUCUUUUUCUUUCUUUCUUUCUUCCCUUUCUUUUUCUUUUUCUCUCUUUCUUUCCGCCAGAAGAUUGGAAACAAUAUUCUUUUCCGAUCAGUUCAGUAAUACAAUGUCCUUCAGUGUCCACAUGAGCGUUUCAGUGAAGAAGAAAAGAAACUUUGCUACCUGGGAACUGAAGACUACUUAGAUCAGUGAAUGCUAAUAAAGUCCUUAAGGACUUGCGGAGCCAGGAGUUAACUUUUCUCAACUAUUAAGUGAAGAUGCUGGUGUUCCACAUCCAAUUGCUCUCAUCUUUCCAAGACUGUGGCACUCCAGGAAAUCUUCCCUACUGAAGGGGGACCACGAGCUACAGUAUCUCUUAGAUGAAAUCAACCGCAUUGCAAACUAAAAGGAAGAAAAGUAACAAAGAACUUGAAGACUUUCAUGACUCCCAGGCCCUGGAUGGAGGCAGGCGGCACCAGACAGACAGAACCAAGAAAUCAGAGGGGCAGCCAGGAGGUGCCUGUGGCUGCAGAGCCCAGAAUUGUCUUUGGAAAAGAUUGAGAAGAGCCAGUAAACUUGGCUUCCUAACUUCUGCUUCUCAUCCCCAUCAGCAGAGAGAAAUAAUGACUCCCGAAUCAUUUCAGAAUCAAAAAGUUAAAACGAUGUCUCAAUGAUGCUACAUCAUGCCAGACACGGGCGAAUGGUUUGAAGAUAUUGGCCUAGCAAGAUGGCAACGGGUUUAAAAAAUUCAUAAGAUUCAUAGGAUUCAUAAGAAGUUACUUUUUUCAGACAUGUCAAACCCCCAAACAAGAGAAGAUACUGAGGCCUGUUGCCACAAACCCGUAGAUCCGAACUUGUGGUGAUAGUCCACACAAGCUUGUGUC